rnacentral:rRNA from 1 species
AACGAACGCUGGCGGCAUGCCUAACACAUGCAAGUCGAACGAGAUCUUCGGGUCUAGUGGCGCACGGGUGCGUAACGCGUGGGAAUCUGCCCUUUGGUUCGGAAUAACAGUUGGAAACGACUGCUAAUACCGGAUGAUGACGAAAGUCCAAAGAUUUAUCGCCAGAGGAUGAGCCCGCGUAGGAUUAGCUAGUUGGUGUGGUAAAGGCGCACCAAGGCGACGAUCCUUAGCUGGUCUGAGAGGAGGAUCAGCCACACUGGGACUGAGACACGGCCCUGAAUCCUACGGGAGGCAGCAGGGGGGAAUAUUGGACAAUGGGCGAAAGCCUGAUCCAGCAAUGCCGCGUGAGUGAUGAAGGCCUUAGGGUUGUAAAGCUCUUUUACCCGGGAUGAUAAUGACAGUACCGGGAGAAUAAGCUCCGGCUAACUCCGUGCCAGCAGCCGCCGUAA